ACUCCUACGGGAGGCAGCAGUAAGGAAUAUUGCGCAAUGGGCAACAGCCUGACGCAGCGACGCCGCGUGGGGGAUGAAGGUCUUCGGAUUGUAAACCCCUUUCGGCAGGGAAGAUGGAACGGGUAACCGUUCGGACGGUACCUGCAGAAGCAGCCACGGCUAACUUCGUGCCAGCAGCCGCGGUAAUACGAAGGUGGCAAGCGUUGUUCGGAUUUACUGGGCGUACAGGGAGCGUAGGCGGUUGGGUAAGCCCUCCGUGAAAUCUCCGGGCCUAACCCGGAAAGUGCGGAGGGGACUGCCCGGCUAGAGGA
rnacentral:rRNA from 1 species